UCCAGAAUUUCUAAGAGGAAGAAAUGUAAGGAGAGGAGAACAAAGAAAAGUCAAAGGAAAAUGAUUUCAAGAAGCAUAAUAUGAACAUCAAAGAAGUGAUUGCAACACGACUAAAGAAUAAGUUGUACCAUGGACAUGGUUCAAAUUUUAGUGGCUUUGCUUUUGAAAAUGUGGCACUGGAUUCUGUCAGCUGUUGUGGUACCUGGGAGAUACUUGCAGAUGUCCCACAACCUGUGGUGAGACAGAAAAUGGCCUUUUGUGACAUCUUUCCUGGAAAAAGUCUUCACUUACGAAUGGUAAAUACAACAAACUUCUACAUGGAAGAAUUUAUUGAACUCAUCUUUCAGUGGAAUGGAAAACAAUUUUUCUUAAGCAUUACUGGAGGCCAUCAAACAGCGAGAAGGAAUAAUUUGUCUGCUGCUGCAUGAUCAGUGGAAUUUAAAGCUGCUGCUCUGUGAUACGUGAUAUAAAAAGACUGAAGAUUUUAACAGUGGUCCUCCUACCUUUUGCAAGCAAAGCAGCUGUCUUCUGGUUAUGUAGAUAAGGCACUAUAGAAGACAAUUAGCUUUGAAUUUCAAGAGUGAGUUGUUUUUCAAUCUUCAAUCUUCAAAUAAAAUAAAAUUAUUAAAAAUCUACUCUAGAAGU
rnacentral:lncRNA from 1 species